rnacentral:rRNA from 1 species
UACGAAGGGGGGCUAGCGUUGCUCGGAAUUACUGGGCGUAAAGCGCACGUAGGCGGAUCCUUAAGUCGGUGGUGAAAUCCUGAAGCUCAACUUCAGAACUGCCUUCGAUACUGGGGACCUUGAGUUCGGGAGAGGUGAGUGGAACUGCGAGUGUAGAGGUGAAAUUCGUAGAUAUUCGCAAGAACACCAGUGGCGAAGGCGACUCACUGGCCCGAUACUGACGCUGAGGUGCGAAAGCGUGGGGGAGCAAACAGG